UUCCAAGAAACAUUCAACGCUGUCGGUGAGUUUGGGAUCUGAAAAAAACCACUGACCGUUGACUGUACCUUGGGG
rnacentral:pre_miRNA from 10 species